rnacentral:lncRNA from 1 species
GGUGACUUCACCCUGGGUCUCUGCUUUCCCUUCCUUGCUCUCUUUACUUUUCGUGGACAGCAGCUGCCGCCAGCCCACAGCACUGAUCUGAGACGCCGGGUUACAGCUGGACCUCUCCCAAGGGCCGAUUUUACACCAGUCACAGCUCAGAGGCACUGCAGUCCGGAUGAGAUGGAGAUAGCUUCCAAUGGGCUUGGCUAAGACUUUUGAAAGGAAGAUCAUACACAAACCUACUUGCAUCUUCAGUAUUCAGUGGUAAUUACAGUAACAACCCCUGAGGAUCUACCGAAG